AACUCUAUAACUCAGUUGGUUAGAGCACUGCAACGGAAUUGCGGGUCCGUAGGUUCGAUUCCUGCUAUAGUUC
rnacentral:tRNA from 1 species